UUGACCUCGGAUCAGGUAGGAAUACGCGCUGAACUUAAGCAUAUCAAUAAGCGCAGGAAAAGAAACCAACAGGGAUUGCCUCAGUAACGGCGAGUGAAGCGGCAACAGCUCAAAUUUGAAAUCUGGCCUCUUGGGGUCCGAGUUGUAAUUUGUAGAGGAUGUUUUGGGUACCGCCCCGGUUUAAAUUUCUUGGAACAGAAUGUCAGAGAGGGUGAGAAUCCCGUCUUGGACCGGUGGUAGGGCCUGUGUAAAACUCCUUCGACGAGUCGAGUUGUUUGGGAAUGCAGCUCAAAAUGGGUGGUAAAUUUCAUCUAAAGCUAAAUAUUGGCCAGAGACCGAUAGCGCACAAGUAGAGUGAUCGAAAGAUGAAAAGCACUUUGAAAAGAGAGUUAAACAGUAUGUGAAAUUGUUGAAAGGGAAGCGCUUACAACCAGACUUGCGCGCGGCGGUUCCCCUUGCCUUUUGGUUAGGCUACUCCGCCGCGUCCAGGCCAACAUCGGUUUCGGGGGCCAGUUAAAGGCCCUGGGAAUGUACCUACCCACGGGUAGACUUAUAGACCAGGGUGCCAUGUGGCCUUCCGGGACCGAGGAACGCGCUUCGGCUCGGAUGUUGGCGUAAUGGUUGUCAGCGACCCGUCUUGAAACACGGACCAAGGAGUCUAACAUCUAUGCGAGUGUUUGGGUGUCAAACCCGGAACGCGGAAUGAAAGUGAACGGAGGUAGGAAGCUUCGGCUGCACUAUCGACCGAUCCUGAAGUUUACGGAUGGAUUUGAGUAAGAGCAUAGCUGUUGGGACCCGAAAGAUGGUGAACUAUGCCUGAAUAGGGUGAAGCCAGAGGAAACUCUGGUGGAGGCUCGCAGCGGUUCUGACGUGCAAAUCGAUCGUCAAAUUUGGGUAUAGGGGCGAAAGACUAAUCGAACCAUCUGGUAGCUGGUUCCUGCCGAAGUUUCCCUCAGGAUAGCAGUAACGUUUUCAGUUUUAUGAGGUAAAGCGAAUGAUUAGAGGCCUUGGGGUUGAAACAACCUUAACCUAUUCUCAAACUUUAAAUAUGUAAGAAGUCCUUGUUACUUAAUUGAACGUGGACAUUUGAAUGUAUCGUUACUAGUGGGCCAUUUUUGGUAAGCAGAACUGGCGAUGCGGGAUGAACCGAACGUGAGGUUAAGGUGCCGGAAUGCACGCUCAUCAGACACCACAAAAGGUGUCAAUGCAUCUAGACAGCCGGACGGUGGCCAUGGAAGUCGGAAUCCGCUUAGGAGUGUGUAACAACUCACCGGCCGAAUGCAUUGGCCCUGAAAAUGGAUGGCGCUUAAGCGUGCUACCUAUACCUCGCCGUUAGGGUUGACAUGAUGCCCUAACGAGUAGGCAGGCGUGGAGGUCCGUGACGAAGCCUUGGGGGUAACCCCGGGUCGAACGACCUCUAGUGC
rnacentral:rRNA from 1 species